GAUCAUGGCUCAGGACGAACGCUGGCGACGUGCCUAAUGCAUGCAAGUCGUACGCGGGGUGCUUGCACCGCCGCGUGGCGCACGGCUGAGGAACACGUGGGUAUCAACCUCGGAGUGGGGGAUACCUCGGAGAAAUCCGGAGACAAUCCGCAUACGAUCGGGCAACCGAUGAAAGCCUUCGGGCGCUCCGGGACGAGCCUGCGGCCCAUCAGGUAGUUGGUGAGGUAACGGCUCACCAAG
rnacentral:rRNA from 1 species